CGGUUUGUAACUGUGGUCACAAAAAUCAAUGUUCUGGGAUCAACGGGAAGCAGCUCCAUUUUUUUUGAGGGCCCUUUACACAGCUCAAGGUCUGGGUCCCAGGGUCCACCUUCAUGUUCCACCAAUGAGUUUGUUCACAGGGGGUGGAGUGUGUGUGUGGGGGGGAUGUCCUGAUGUGUGUAAGGAAUGCAUUGUGUGAAUCUGUGUUU